rfam:Sclerotinia borealis F-4128 unplaced genomic scaffold scaffold00056, whole genome shotgun sequence.
GCCCGGCUAGCUCAAUCGGUAGAGCGUGUGACUCUUAAUCACAAGGUUGGGGGUUCGACCCCCCCGUUGGGCU